UACGGGGGGUGCAAGCGUUACUCGGAAUCACUGGGCGUAAAGGACGCGUAGGCGGAUUAUCAAGUCUUUUGUGAAAUCUAGUGGCUUAACCACUAAACUGCUUAGGAAACUGAUAAUCUAGAGUAGGGGAGAGGUAGAUGGAAUUCUUGGUGUAGGGGUAAAAUCCGUAGAGAUCAAGAGGUAUACCUAUUGCGAAAGCGAUCUGCUGGAACCUAACUGACGCUGAGGCGUGAAAGCGUGGGUAGCAAACAGGAUUAGAUACCCUGGUAGUCCCUGA
rnacentral:rRNA from 1 species